GAUAAACGCUGGCGGCGUGCCUAACACAUGCAAGUCGAACGCCCUACGCUUGCGUAGGGAGUGGCGGACGGGUGAGGAACACGUGGGUCAUCUACCCAGAGGUGAGGAAUACCGGCGAGAAAUCGCCGACAAUACCGCAUACGUUCUGUAAAGAACAAAGUCGCAAGACGCCUUUGGAUGAGCCUGCGCCCGAUUAGUUAGUUGGUGGGUAAAGACCUACCAAGACUACAAUCGGUAGCUGGCUGAGAGGACGAUCAGCCACACCUGGGAUUGAGAACGGCCCA
rnacentral:rRNA from 1 species